CACCACGAAAAUUCCUCGUCCGCCACGGUCCUCUAUGCUGUCUCUGAUGAAAACCCUCAGAACUCACACAACAACAAUUAUCACAACUCAGGUCGUGGGAAUAGGGGACGAAAUCGAGGUUAUGGUCGCUCGAGAGAAAAAAAGUCGCUAAAACAACAACUGGCCGCAGCAACAAUUUGGCGCACCUUGGUACUACAACCAGCAACCUCCCGUUUAUGCGAUAAUACCUCCUCCCUUUACGUACCUGUCGCAGGGUUAAGUUCCCUACUCACUUGGCUCAUUCCAGCAAUAUCAGCAUCAGCAUGGGAGUCUACUGCAGCAAGAUAUUCUCAGGUCUCAUCCAACACGACCCAACCAUGAAGCGCACAUGGCACAGAUGUCUACAACUCCGCAGAUGAC
rnacentral:lncRNA from 1 species